rnacentral:rRNA from 1 species
UACGGAGGUGGCAAGCGUUGCUCGGAAUCACUGGGCGUAAAGGGCGCGUAGGCGGGGAGGUAAGUCGGGGGUGAAAUCCCUCGGCCCAACCGAGGAACUGCGCCCGAGACUGCUUCUCUUGAGUCCCGGAGAGGAAGGUGGAAUUCCCGGUGUAGCGGUGAAAUGUGUAGAGAUCGGGAGGAACACCGGUGGCGAAGGCGGCCUUCUGGACGGUGACUGACGCUGAGGCGCGAAAGCGUGGGGAGCAAACGGG